CCCCCCCCCCCCCCCCCCCCCCCCCCCCCCCCCCCCCCCCCCCCCCCCCCCCCCCCCCCCCCCCCCCCCCCCCCCCCCCCCCGCAGCCCGCAGCCCAGCCUCGCCGAGUCGCUGGCGGGCACUGACCAGGAGCGGGACCCGCGCUCUCCCACGCCCGGUAUCUCCCGCACGCCCAUGCGAGCCGUGUCGAGUGACAGCGUGGACCGCCUGGUGAAGCAGCUCAGCGAGGCCUUCGGGGCCGAAGCCGCGGCCCCGGAGCCGGCGCCGCCGGGACCCCCCCCCCCCCCCCCCCCCCCCCCCCCCCCCCCCCCCCCCCCCCCCC
rnacentral:lncRNA from 1 species